rnacentral:lncRNA from 1 species
CAGCAGGAAGGUGGAAACCCAUCCAGUCAUUCCAGCUAUGGUAAUGAAGGAAAGGAAGACAUUAAAAUAUUGGGACACAGACUUAGGAGUGCAGGAUGGAUGGAUGGAGACAAAGGGGAAUGAUCAAAUUCCCUCAUGGAGUAAUUGAGCAACGUCACAAGGAAACGUUGCAGAAGAACGUAGAAUUAGUGAAAACAAAAUGCAGAGGCAAAAGUAUGCCUGCUUCCAUUUUAUGGAAUCCAAUCCAGGAAGGAGGGCAGUUUGUCACUUAGACUGAAGUUGUGUCACGCUUGUCGUUGGAAAUUGAGGACCAAAACACAGCAGCCUCCCCCCUUGUGAAUCUCCACUGGAAACAGAGCUUCCCUGUAACCCUACAACUUCAGUGUCUGCAGAUCUGAAUCAACUGGAUGGGUUGACAGCAAUAUGGCAGAGACUCUCUUCAACCUACUGGAAGCUUGGCUGGGUGGAGCCUUCUCCAUUUGAAAUUAACCACCACAGCAGAACCCGGACUUGAACCCGAUCGAACAUCUCUGGAGAGACUUGAAAAUAGCUGUGCAGCAAUGCUCCCCAUCCAACCAGACAGAGCUUGAGAGGAUCUGCGCAGAAGAAUGGGAGAAACUCCCCAAAUACAGCUGUGCCAAGCUUGUAGCGUCAUACCCAAGUAGACUCAAGGCUGUAAUCGCUGCCAAAGGUGCUUCAACAAAGUACUGAGUAAAGGGUUUGAAUACUUACAUAAAUGUAAUAUUUGAGUUUUUAUUUUUAUAAAUUUGCAAACAUUUAUAAAAACCUGUUGUGCUUUGUCAUUAUGGGGUAUUGUGUGUAGAUUAAUGACAUAAUGUAACAAAAUGUGGAACAAGUCAAGGAGACUGAAUACUUACCAAGUGCACUGUAUGUAUGUAUAUAUUUUUUACCGCUCUAGGGAUAUAAUUAUUGUUUGGCUGACCUUAUUUACUAUCAUGUAUUGAUUUCUACCUUUAAUUUUUUCACUCUUUGUGAUGUCCACUGCAGAGAACACCGGAAGAAGAAUUAUCACUGAAUUAUCACAGUGAAUUAUUGUACUGUUUGUUAAUGUGUCAAUUAAUCCCAUAAGGAAUGGGUUACCACCUGGCAACGGAAAUAACAUUUUAUUAAUUCCUUCACACUGCUUGGUUAGAUCUCAUUCAGUAAAGAUAUAUCUCAAUGGGACUCCCCAGUUAAGAAAAAAGCAGAUCUUCAAAAAUAACAGCCAGAGUAAGAGUAUGGAAAGAAAGUCUUCAGCGUCCUGAGAGCUCCUGGAAACAAGUUGGAGCAGAAACAUGUAGAAACUACUGUUGACUAACCCCAUUCUAAUACUGUUGUAGGACUGCUGAUGAAUUGGGGACUUGUACUUGGCUGCUUCCCUUUGAGGCUAACACUGACCCCCUAGCAGAUCCAAAGCCAACCCCCAAGAUUAUACCAGCAGGCGUUACUAAGAACAUCCCUCUGUAUGAAAUGCUUUGCCUCCUGUUUUGACUAGCUCUCUUUUUCUAGUUUCUGUCAUCCCUCUCCUCCAGUCCCCCUCUCUUGCUUUCCUUCCUCUCUCUGCAUGUAAAUUGGAGAGCAAAGAAAUGGCACAUCUCCAACAGUACGAGCAGUAUUAAAUGGAUGUCUACUCCACACAUUAUAGCCCAUGAAAUUCGACGACUGAAGCAUAACAUUGAAAUGAAGAGCCGAUCUGAGUUGUGAUGACUCAUUUCCCUAUUCCACAUUCCACAUUUAUUCUAAUUACGCCCAGGCCUUCUCCACCUCCCUUCUAGGAGAGGUGUCUGUGUCAGAGAUUCUGUCAGAGCUGCUUCCCCAGAUGAAGUAGGGGGAGACCCAGCAUUCUUCACUGUCAGAGAGAAGCUUCACACAUCUGGAGACAGAUUUAUCAAGCUGCUAUGGCCUUGGACUGUGGGUACAAACACACACACACACUCACACUUUACGAUAACAUCAAUGUUUCAUAAAUAAUAAAUAGAACUUCUAGAAUGCAUGAUAAAAGCCCUUUGAAUCGAUUUAACCUUGGCAGAGUUUAGCAGUUCAAGGUUGACUCUUCUAUGAUAAAAAAAGCAACAUGUAUUUCAUUUCCCUCAGCUUUGCAUUUCUUCAGAUGCAAUAAUUAUGUAGCAGGGAGAAUUAAGAGAGAGUUAGACACUCAUCUGAGCGCCACGAUUACCAGCUUAUCUUCUGUGUGUCACCCCCCCCACACACACACACACUCCUAACCUCUUCUGAAAGUCUACCCCCCCAGCUGUUCCCCCCUUCUCUCUGCACUGUCUGAUAAGGCCAUGGAUUUUCUACUGUACUGAUUAUCCAUGACUCAGACCCAUAGCAGUCAUCUGCCUUUUGGCCUGGAUCAAGCACUUUGCCCUAAGUCACCUCAAGUCUACAGAGUCUUAGCUGUAAAUCUCUAUAUAUGUAUCUCUAUUUAUCCUGCUCACACUGUGUAUAUUUUCUUGGCAGACAUGAUUGACAAUGGUAGGAAGUAUGUUACUACCUGCAUGCCGGUUACGUCUUCCAUCUCCCUUUCCAUUGAGUUUCCUGGCUCCAAUGACCUUGGACGAGUUGGGUUCAGCACCACGGACAGUUCCACAUAGCUCCAAUGACCUUGGACAAGUUGGAUUCAGAACCACGGACAGUUCCACAUAGCCAUCAGCAUGCAGCAAUGCAACAGACCACAAUAUGAUUUGUCUAUCGUUUUCUACAAUGUCAUUUGAACAAAACACUAAUGACCUGUGAGAUCAAGUUCUUAGUUCCUGUGCUUGAGAAGGACCCUUAAGAUGUUUUGAGCUCCACAGCCGACCUGGACACAUUACAGACUAAGAGAUGAAGAGUUUGCAUGACUAAUGGAUCUGAUUACCUUGGCUGGGAUUCAAUCCGAGGCACUUUGGAUAGCGCUGUCGACAAAGCGCCUUUUUUAAUAAAUAUAUAUAUUUAUAAAUUAUCUUCGGGAACAGUGUCCUGUCCACAGGAUGGUUGAGUUAACGUAGGCUAAUGCGAUUAUCAUGAGGUUGUAAGUAACAAAAAAAUUACCCAAGACGUAGACAUAUCUGAUAUUGGCAGAAAGCUUAAUUUCUUGUUAAUCUAACUGCAGGUCCAAUUUACAGUAGCUAUUACAGUGAAAGAAUACCAUGCUAUUGUUUGAGGAGAGUGCACAAUUUUGAACAUGAAAACUUAUUAAUAAACAAAUUAGGCACAUUAGAGCAGUCUUCAUUCAAAAUUUUGAACAGAAAUGCAAUGGUUUAUUGGAUCAGUCUAAAACUUUGCACAUACUCUGCUGCCAUCUAGUGGCAAGAAUCUAAAUUGCAGCCGGGGUGGAAUAAUACGUUGUGGCCUUUCUCUUGCAAUUCAAAGAUACAAAAUAACAGUUUUUUUUCUUUGUAUUAUCUUUUACCAUAUCUAUUGUGUUAUAUUCUCCUACAUUUCUUUCACAUUUCCACAAACGUCAAAGUGUUUCCUUUCAAAUUGUACCAAGAAUAUGCAUAUCCUUGCUUCAGGGCCUGAGUUACAGGCAGUUAGAUUUAGGUAUGUUCUUUUAUAUGGAAAUUGAAAAAAAGGGGCGGAUCCUUAAGAGGUUGACAAUGUUCCCUCGUUCGUAGCG